CUUUUGGAAAGACGGUGUCAUGUCGAGCCGAGCGGUAGAGUGCAGUUUGUGGAUUAUAUCGGUGCUUUCCCUGUUCAAAAUGUAAUGUUUUGACCGAUUCAACAAUGAGUUUCUCCAUUAAACGAAAGUCAGUCCAGAUGUCUCAUAAAUCACGAACCAGUCUAAGUUGACGGAACUAAACUUUUUUAAUUCUUAUGCAAGUGAAAUCAUGGGUAUUUGCUUUCUUACGGAAGCAAGGCUGUGCG